rnacentral:sRNA from 1 species
CAGAAAACCAAAAAAAAAAUGGACUCCAAAACAACUUUUC